AGAGUUUGAUCAUGGCUCAGAUUGAACGCUGGCGGAAUGCUUUACACAUGCAAGUCGAGCGGCAGCGCGGGGCAACCUGGCGGCGAGCGGCGAACGGGUGAGUAACACAUCGGAACGUACCCUGUCGUGGGGGAUAGCUCGGCGAAAGCCGGAUUAAUACCGCAUACGACCUGAGGGUGAAAGCGGGGGAUCGCAAGACCUCGCGCGAUAGGAGCGGCCGAUGUCGGAUUAGCUAGUUGGUGAGGUAAAGGCUCACCAAGGCGACGAUCCGUAGCUGGUCUGAGAGGACGACCAGCCACACUGGAACUGAGACACGGUCCAGACUCCUACGGGAGGCAGCAGUGGGGAAUUUUGGACAAUGGGCGAAAGCCUGAUCCAGCCAUUCCGCGUGAGGGAAGAAGGCCUUCGGGUUGUAAACCUCUUUCGGCAGGAACGAAACGGUGGGGGCUAAUACCUCUUAUCAAUGACGGUACCUGAAGAAGAAGCACCGGCUAACUACGUGCCAGCAGCCGCGGUAAU
rnacentral:rRNA from 1 species